AUUAAUAAAUGUUCAUUUCCAACAUACUUUGUGUUCAUUUUAAGCAAGCAGUACAGUAAUUAUUAAACAAUAGUUAAAGAGUUAGAGUUAAAUAAAACCCCCUAGCAGGUUGGGUAAACAUUUAACCCAACCACUGGGUUAAAACAACCCAAUUGCUGGAUUAAAUUAACCCAAUUGCUGGGUUACAACAACCCAUUUGCUAGGUUAAAACAACCCAAAUGCUGGGUUAAAACAACCCAUUGGCUGUGUUUGUCCAUUUUUCAACUCAACUUGAGUGUAUGAUGUACUGUCACUUCAUAUUAUGUGUUUUGUAACUUUUGAUGCAAGUUUUGAAGUUUAAAUCCUUGUUUUCCUCAUUUUGCAUUACAUUAAAUCAUCAGUCACAGUGAUUUCUGACGGCACUCAUAUCACGGCGAUCAUGUAUGCUUUAUGACUUAUAUAAUAUUCCCACUUCAGUGCACAGAACGUUUCUAGACAUGGCCUGAAUAACACGUCAUUAAGGCCACUGCGUCACACGAGAUGCUCACGAACAUCUGUUUUACUAAAACACAAGAUUCAUUUUUUUUAAACAGGAUUUGCCUGCCACAACUCUAAUUAACAUCUACUCCACAACGUUAAUUAUGCGCUUGCGGCCUAAAGAAAAAGCGGGAUUGUGUUAAUUAAGUUUUUAAUCACUUGAAUGCUCCUUGUACAAUAUAUUCAAACAACACAGCUCAGAUGAAUGAAGCUAAUCAGAAUCAAACCGAUAAAAACAGUGUUUCAGAGAACAUUCAAAAGUAACAUUCCCAUAAUGAUUGCAAAAUGGAAUGUUUCCUUAACAUCUGCAUACUUUUAAACAUUUAAAAAAAAAACUGUAGAACAUUCAGAAAUAACAUCAUUGCCUAAUUGGAACAUUCAUUGAACAAAAUAUGUUCCAAUAAUGUUUGGAAUGUUCCAAAUGUUAUUGGAACACAUUUUUGUUAGCUGGGUAGUUUGUUCACUUGUUAGAGAAAGUUUAUUAGUGGUUCUUGGUAAUAUUAGUUCAAAAUCUUUUGACUUAGCAACCAUCCAGAAUCCAGCGACGUCCUAGAAACCCCCCAGAACACAAGAGCAUCAUUGGAGCUUUAUCACAACAGACCUGUGACCCAUUUUCAAGUUUGUGACCCUCUAGCCACUGUAAUAGAUCACCUGUAUUUGUGUUUGCGUCUGCAUGUGCUGGUGUUUCUCUCUCUCGUCUCAUCUGUCUGCUUCCUUCUCUGAAUGAGAGUAUAGAUUGGUGCUGGAUGUGUCUGAGAGCUCAAGGGUGCUCAUUAAAAGCAAACUAGCAUGCUGCACUUCAGUCUGGAGAUGUCUGGAGUGUGAAUGUGGAAGGAUAUUGAUAGAUCUGUCUAUAAUGUCCUCAGUCUCGAUGUCUGUGUAGCAGGAGCUGGUGUGUGAUGAACAAAGCUGGAUAAACAUGAUGAGAAACAUUGCUAGGGAUGACAAAUGAUAUUCACAACCCAAUGUACGGCCAUAACAUGAUGUAUUUUGAGUGCAACUGGAUAUUUAACACAUACACACACAGCAGGUUGGGACUUUUAUCCAUGAGGAACUGACAGGAUCGUGCAAAGACUCUCUAAUUGUUUGGUUACCAACAUUCUUCAAAAUAUCUUCUUUUGUGUACAGCAGAAGAAAGAAAUUCAUACAGGUUUGGAUCAUCUUGAAAGUUAACGUCAGCGUCUCUGGCCGUCGGAUUGGUUCGUGCGCAGAGCUUAUGACCCAUUUUGGUUCAGUGGAAUUCCGAGACUCAUUGCCCUUCCCAACAGAGCACAGGUGCGGAUCAGAACACGCUCCACAAACACUGGAUCAUCAGGGGGGAAUCGCAGCCCCUCAGCGCUCUCGAUGUGUCAAUGCCACACGUGCAACAUCAGCCUCUCGAAACUACAUUUAUAAUGCUAAAGUGGAUGAUUCUUGUUUUAAGCAUGAUUUCACUUCAUUUUUAUACAUUUUUCAAAAUCAAGAUUUGAUAUUUUCAGUCAUAUUGCCUCUCAAGAAAAUGUAUCUUGAUGUAAAAAUGUUGUAUUGGGAAAACAAGACAAAAAUAUCAAAUAAUAAAAUAUUUUUUUAGCAGUGC